rnacentral:snoRNA from 2 species
CACCAAUGCUCUAGUCAGGAUUUUCUUAUUACGUUGUAAACGUUUACGAUUGAGUUAAUCUGUUACAGGAUUGGAAGAUAAAUGUAUAUCAGUGCUGUCUUUCCGUCUUGGAACUUGUCAGCGGGAGGAUGUUUUUUCCUCUUAUGAUAUUCAUUCACUUAUGAGUUGAGCCCUCCGUCGAAAGGCUUCUAAUGGAGGUGCUCGUAGUAAAGUGUUUGACAUUC